GAUGAACGCUGGCGGCGUGCCUAAUACAUGCAAGUCGAGCGAACGGACGAGAAGCUUGCUUCUCUGAUGUUAGCGGCGGACGGGUGAGUAACACGUGGAUAACCUACCUAUAAGACUGGGAUAACUUCGGGAAACCGGAGCUAAUACCGGAUAAUAUUUUGAACCGCAUGGUUCAAAAGUGAAAGACGGUCUUGCUGUCACUUAUAGAUGGAUCCGCGCUGCAUUAGCUAGUUGGUAAGGUAACGGCUUACCAAGGCAACGAUGCAUAGCCGACCUGAGAGGGUGAUCGGCCACACUGGAACUGAGACACGGUCCAGACUCCUACGGGAGGCAGCAGUAGGGAAUCUUCCGCAGUGGGCGAAAGCCUGACGGAGCAACGCCGCGUGAGUGAUGAAGGUCUUCGGAUCGUAAAACUCUGUUAUUAGGGAAGAACAUAUGUGUAAGUAACUGUGCACAUCUUGACGGUACCUAAUCAGAAAGCCACGGCUAACUACGUGCCAGCAGCCGCGGUAAUACGUAGGUGGCAAGCGUUAUCCGGAAUUAUUGGGCGUAAAGCGCGCGUAGGCGGUUUUUUAAGUCUGAUGUGAAAGCCCACGGCUCAACCGUGGAGGGUCAUUGGAAACUGGAAAACUUGAGUGCAGAAGAGGAAAGUGGAAUUCCAUGUGUAGCGGUGAAAUGCGCAGAGAUAUGGAGGAACACCAGUGGCGAAGGCGACUUUCUGGUCUGUAACUGACGCUGAUGUGCGAAAGCGUGGGGAUCAAACAGGAUUAGAUACCCUGGUAGUCCACGCCGUAAACGAUGAGUGCUAAGUGUUAGGGGGUUUCCGCCCCUUAGUGCUGCAGCUAACGCAUUAAGCACUCCGCCUGGGGAGUACGACCGCAAGGUUGAAACUCAAAGGAAUUGACGGGGACCCGCACAAGCGGUGGAGCAUGUGGUUUAAUUCGAAGCAACGCGAAGAACCUUACCAAAUCUUGACAUCCUUUGACAACUCUAGAGAUAGAGCCUUCCCCUUCGGGGGACAAAGUGACAGGUGGUGCAUGGUUGUCGUCAGCUCGUGUCGUGAGAUGUUGGGUUAAGUCCCGCAACGAGCGCAACCCUUAAGCUUAGUUGCCAUCAUUAAGUUGGGCACUCUAAGUUGACUGCCGGUGACAAACCGGAGGAAGGUGGGGAUGACGUCAAAUCAUCAUGCCCCUUAUGAUUUGGGCUACACACGUGCUACAAUGGACAAUACAAAGGGCAGCGAAACCGCGAGGUCAAGCAAAUCCCAUAAAGUUGUUCUCAGUUCGGAUUGUAGUCUGCAACUCGACUACAUGAAGCUGGAAUCGCUAGUAAUCGUAGAUCAGCAUGCUACGGUGAAUACGUUCCCGGGUCU
rnacentral:rRNA from 1 species